rnacentral:miRNA from 1 species
CAGAGCUCUGUAGGACAGCACA